AGGUCAGUAGCUCCAAUGGUAGAGCUCCGGAUUCCAAAUCCGAUUGUUGGGGGUUCGAAUCCCUCCUGACCUGCCA
rnacentral:tRNA from 1 species